CUCCAUCGCUCGUGGCUUCACUGAGGCAGCGUUGACCCUCCACAGGUCUCUCCGUGGGGCCUUCCCUCCGGGCACCACCUUCCCAUGUGGGACUUCACCCAGGGAAGAGGACUCCACAGAGAGGACCUUCUUCUCUCGGCCCCCGCUGCGGGAGAAGCUGAGCCGUCACUCUGGUGUUGUUGCUGGAGCUGGUUCCUUGUUGACCAUGGACCCCGGGUCUCCGGGCUCCGGCCCAGGUUCCAGCCCGCAUAGCCCAGAUGUACAACGAGUUGAGUCCCUGACCGACACCCUGCCUUCGCCGGUGAUCGAUCACAGCCACUCAGCGACGCUUGUGGCUUCCCAGCUGCAGCCUCAGCCGCGAGCCCUCCAGUCCGGGCUCUGGCUGAAGGCCCUGCACCUCCUCCUGGCCCUGAAGGGGCUCGUCUGCUCCUUCCCGUGGGUCCAGCAGGUGCUGCAGCUCCAGAGAAGCCUGUUGAGGAGCUCUGGAUCCGCCACACAGGACCUGCUGGCUCUCCUGGCCUCCAUCGCCCGUUGCUUCACUGAGGCAGCGUUGACCCUCCACAGGUCUCUCCGUGGGGCCUUCCCUCCGGGCACCACCUUCCCAUGUGGGACUUCACCCAGGGAAGAGGACUCCCCAGAGAGGACCUUCUUCUCUCGGCCCCCGCUGCGGGAGAAGCUGAGCCGUCACUCUGGUGUUGUUGCUGGAGCUGGUUCCUUGUUGACCAUGGACCCCGGGUCUCUGGGCUCUGGCCCAGGUUCCAGCCCGCAUGGCCCAGAUGUACAACGGGUUGAGUCCCUGACCGACACCCUGCCUUCGCCGGUGAUCGAUCACAGCCACUCAGCGACGCUUGUGGCUUCCCAGCUGCAGCCUCAGCCACGAGCCCUCCAGUCCGGGCUCUGGCUGAAGGCCCUGCACCUCCUCCUGGCCCUGAAGGGGCUUGUCUGCUCCUUCCCGUGGGUCCAGCCGGUGCUGCAGCUCCAGAGAAGCCUGUUGAGGAGCUCUGGAUCCGCCACACAGGACCUGCUGGCUCUCCUGGCCUCCAUCGCUCGUGGCUUCACUGAGGCAGCGUUGAUCCUCCACAGGUCUCUCCGUGGGGCCUUCCCUCCGGGCACCACCUUCCCAUGUGGGACUUCACCCAGGGAAGAGGACUCCCCAGAGAGGACCUUCUUCUCUCGGCCCCCGCUGCGGGAGAAGCUGAGCCGUCACUCUGGUGUUGUUGCUGGAGCUGGUUCCUUGUUGACCAUGGACCCCGGGUCUCUGGGCUCCGGCCCAGGUUCCAGCCCGCAUGGCCCAGAUGUACAACGAGUUGAGUCCCUGUCCGACACCCUGCCUUCGCCGGUGAUCGAUCACAGCCACUCAGCGACGC
ensembl:lncRNA